rnacentral:rRNA from 1 species
GACGAACGCUGGCGGCGUGCUUAACACAUGCAAGUCGAACGGAAAGACCCUGCUUUUGUGGGGUGCUCGAGUGGCGAACGGGUGAGUAACACGUCAGUAACCUGCCCUUGACUUUGGGAUAACUUCAGGAAACUGGGGCUAAUACCGGAUAGGAGCUCCUGCUGCAUGGUGGGGGUUGGAAAGUUUCGGCGGUUGGGGAUGGACUCGCGGCUUAUCAGCUUGUUGGUGGGGUAGUGGCUUACCAAGGCUUUGACGGGUAGCCGGCCUGAGAGGGUGACCGGCCACAUUGGGACUGAGAUACGGCCCAGACUCCUACGGGAGGCAGCAGUGGGGAAUAUUGCACAAUGGGCGGAAGCCUGAUGCAGCAACGCCGCGUGCGGGAUGACGGCCUUCGGGUUGUAAACCGCUUUCGCCUGUGACGAGGCGUGAGUGACGGUAAUGGGUAAAGAAGCACCGGCUAACUACGUG